rnacentral:rRNA from 1 species
GACGAACGCUGGCGGCGUGCUUAACACAUGCAAGUCGAACGGAAAGGCCCUGCUUUUGUGGGGUGCUCGAGUGGCGAAAGGGUGAGUAACACGUGAGUAACCUUCCCUUUACUUUGGGAUAACUUCAGGAAACUGGGGCUAAUACCGGAUAGAAGCUCCUGCUGCAUGGUGGGGGUUGGAAAGUUUCGGCGGUUGGGGAUGGACUCGCGGCUUAUCAGCUUGUUGGUGGGGUAGUGGCUUACCAAGGCUUUGACGGGUAGCCGGCCUGAGAGGGUGACCGGCCACAAGGGGACUGAGGGACGGCCCAGACUCCUACGGGAGGCAGCAGUGGGGAAUAUUGCACAAUGAGCGGAAGCCUGAUACAGCAACGCCGCGUGCGGGAUGACGGCCUUCGGGUUGUAAACCGCUUUCGCCUGUGACGAAGCGUGAGUGACGGUAAUGGGUAAAGAAGCACCGGCUAACUACGUG